ensembl:lincRNA
AUGACUCCUCUUCCUGUUCCCGGGAGACGCGGCGAGACAGAAAAGAGGCGCUCGAGGGACGCCAGCACAUUCACCACGAGCCGACCGGCGGCUCCGCGCCGCCCCUGCCGGCCCCAGGCCUUCCCCCCGACAGAGGGGCCCCUGCGGCCGGGAGGCGCGGUGGCGCAGCGGCCGCGGCCGCCUUGGUUCCGGCCCCGCGCUCGGGCUCGGCGCGCAGGGCCCGCCGGGCUCCUGCUCCGCGCGCUGCGGCCGCCGGCUCAGCCCACGAAGCAGAAACGACUCUCGCUCGAAGAGGUCGCAAGGGAAAAUGGCUUCGGGUUUUCCAGUAGACGCUGGAGAACUAACCCCACCCAACUGCCAAGAGCUGGAGAAAAGAGAUUCUUACCAUGGUUGCUGCUUCGCGGCUGCCGAGCAGAUGGCGGAGAAGAGGAGAGGUUUUUGCUUCUUACAGCGCGACUCUUAGGCGGUCGAUGUAAGAGAACCUGCGGCACAUGGGCGGAUGCGGCUGCCUAUAUACAGCUCGGUCACCAUGGGGAUGGACCGGGGCCUUUUCCUGUUGGUCCAGACCCCUCAAUCUGCCCAGAGAAGCCACGACAAGAGAGUGGUGAUUGGUGCAAGCGACAUGGGAUGAGAAAUCUUCAGGUGCCUGUGCUUUUGAACGCGUGCGUAUCCAGCAAAAUCAGAGGAGACCCUGGCUCUGUUUCAAAGGAAGGAGGCAAAACAAUCGAGCACCCUGAAUCGUUGCAUACCAACGCCACAGAGGAUUUCAGUUCUUGACAGAAAAGCCCGCUCUGUCCACUACUUCCAGUUUCGUCGGUUAGGGGGGCGUGAAACGCAGCGUCCCGAGGGCGCGGGGCUGCCUGGCAGGCCAGGGGUCUGAGAUCACCCGGGGGUGACGCCGCGGCCUCUGGCGAGACCCGAGCCCUUUCCGCCUUUUCACCAGCAGGCGGCGCUGUCCCUGGCGCCCGCGGCCGCCGCCCGCCCUCGCGGAAGUCGCUGCCCCCGCGCCCCCGCCUGCAGGCUCCCCCAGGCGCGCCUGGCUGGUCUCUUUUCACGCAGCCUUUCUUCGUCUUGUUCUGUCUGCUGUUUCUGAAGAAUGCCCCCGUGUUUAUACUAUGUGAGAUGUUGCUUCUUGGAUGCUUUGAGAGGGUGAAAAUACUGAAAACAAAAAACUAUUUAGGAUAGUGUAAUCAGUUAUUUUUUUCAACCAUCUCAAAUGCACUUCAAGUUAGCCAAAUAUAAAAAGCCUCUCAUACGACAAAGAAGGCAAUUUAUGUCGCAAGUUAAAACGCUUAAAAAAAAAAAAUUCUCCUUCCUGUUUAUUUCACUCUUCCGCGGGCGAGAAGUGUUCACGAAAAUUCAGCUGCGGCGCCAUCUGCUGGGCGCGCCGCGACACAGCAAGGCCCUGUCUGGGUUGGGGAGGCCCAGGUCGCCGGUGAAACCCCCGCCUUUCGCCUAGGAGAAGCGCGUGCAGGCAGUCUGCUAAUCUAAAAAGGGAUUAAAUUGGGCUUCUACGAGAAAAUGGUCUCCGUUUUGAGGAAUCCUGGGACCUAAAUGAACUGACAUUUAUUUCCUGGGUGGGAGAGUAAUGUCUUGAGAAAAUCUGGGGCUUCAAGUGAAAAGGACACAUACCUCAUUUUAUUACACCCACACAUUUCUCAGGCACAGGGCUAAAAGCUAAAACUGUGUUUUCCAUCAUUGCACCCAGGGAAUUAUCAGAGACAGAAGGCACAGUGUACUUGUUCUCGAUGGGGCUGAUUUUGCUGAAUAGAAGGAAUUUCAGAGGUGACAGGAGUGACAGAAAUGAAAUGAAUCUGGGAUUGGAGAGAUGUUAAUAUAUGGCCUUGGCAGUGCUUUGACAUUAGGUUGCUAAACCUUGCUACCAUUUUCCGAACUCUUAAGUCAAUUUUAAUUCACUUGAAGAUUUUUCUAUUUAGGAGACUUCAGGCCCUUCCUCAGAAAAGUCUAAACCCAUUUGUAAACACAUUUAUACACAUACCGCAAUAUAAGCCUGCAUUCACCAUUGUUGCAAACGUUGUCAAAAACCCAUAAUCAGAAAAAAUACUUGGAGAGUUGGAAGAAAGCAGAAUUUUAGGGCAAAAUUACAGUUGACCCACUCAUCUGGAAAAAUACGGUAUCACUGAUAGGAGCAUUUAUAAUGGAAAAAUGCUGCCAAACAGUUCUGACCCUCCAGAGCUCGAUAAUUACUUUAUAACAAAAAUGAGUUUAUAUAUUUUGCGAAGAGCUUAUGAUGGUUUCCUGAAAGAGAUGAAGUUGCGAUACCAACAGUAUAGCCUAUUGGAGCCUCGCUGAUUAUGGAGUCCUUGGGAUCCAUGUCAUUUUACCUCCAUAGACAGUCGAUGUUUUGCAAGGACAUCUUCAGUAACUGAGCCCUCGUGGAUGAAGCCUGCCUGAUUCUACUAGUGCAGUGAAUAGUCUUAAAGAGAAAAUACUGACCAUCCAUAUAGGUCCUUGAAGAAGACUUUCUAAUCCUAAGAAAAACAAGAUGAGAAAUAAAAUAAAAUCCUGUGCAGUGAUGCAUGGGUGAUUGUAUCAGAGAACUAGAAGACGGAAUAUUUUUCUGUUUCUACUGACCGAAGAGUUUUUGGCUACCAAAUUGUGACAGUAGAGGAAGUAUUUUAUGGCUGAUGCCACAUCUAUUAUACCCCACUACUAAUAUGUUUGUAGAGAAGAGUCUUUCAUGGAGAUAAAUAGCUUUAAAGCAAAUUAGCUUUCUGAGUGGUGGCAUGAAGUGGGGCAUCAAGCAACUCUCUGCAAAGGUGCUCUCAGGGCUUCUGGACAGUGUUGGGAAUAGAGGUUAUGGUGGUUUGAAGCUGUGUGUACCCCAGGCAAAAAAAAUGUUCUUAAAUCUAAUCCAUUCUCAUGGGUGUGAACCCAUUGUAAGUAGAACCUGUUGAGAUUACUUCUAUUUAGGUGUGGCCCACCCCAGUCAGAAUGGGUCUGUUACUAGAGUCCUUUAGAAGCAGAAUGAAAUUCAGACAUGGAGAAAAAGCCACAGAGGGAGCUGCCAGAAGCUGAAUAUCAGCAGAACCUGGAAGAGAAGGGAGAGACCAGGAGACGCUGCCACACGCCUUGCCAUGUGACAAGCCUAGACCAAGGACUGCUGGCAGCCAGCCCCAGGACUCCACAUUCCUCAGGGAGAAAGCCUCACCUUGAUGAUGCCUUGAUUUGGACUUUCUUUUUGUCUUUUUAGUCUCAAAAUCGUAAGCAAAUAAAAUUCUCAUUUUUAACCCAACCUAUUGCAUGGUAUUUUUGCUUGAGUAGCCCAGGAAACUAAAACAGAAGUGGAGAUGUUGGGGCUGGAUACCUUAGGCCCCCACUGUCUCUUCCUCUCAUAUGGCACAAGGCAAUGCCUUGAAACUGAAUGUUUUCCCUUCUGUGGUUCUCCUUAUUUCAUAAACUUGUUUGCAUAGAGAGUGCCUCCACCCUCAGAACAGAGCCACAUACACAAACUACCUAUCCCUUUCCUCACAGACAUCCCAAGAGCAUUCACUGAGGACUAUUUCUGGUGAACCCAAUAUAUAAGGCUACCCAUCCCCCCAGCAACUGAGCUUCGGGUUCAAAUAUUUUGCAUUUGGCGAAAAGCAAGGGAAAAUUUUUCUAGAGGUGACCUCUCCCUUGACUUUCAGCCUGUUCUAUAAUUGGGCAUUUGAGGUAUGUGACCAUUCCCUCAAAAGCAUGAAACAGAACUUGGUAGAAAUUUCUCUCUGUACUCUACAGUCAGAUAGGUAUGCCUCUCAUGGUUGAAAUCCUGACUUCACAGAGGAGUUUCCUUAACAAGGUCAAUUCAACUCACUUUUUUUUUUUAAAGAUUUAUUUUUUAUUUUUUUCUCUCCUCUUCUCCCCCUCUCCCCACCAGUUGUCUACUCUCUGUCCAUUCGCUGUGUGUCCUUCUGUGUUGCUUGUAUUCUUGUCAGUGGCACUGGGAAUCUGUGUCUCUUUUUGUUGUGUCAUCUAGCUGUGUCAGCUCUGUGUGUGUGCAGCGCCACUCCUGGACAGGCCGCACUUUCUUUUGCACUGGGCAGCAGCUCUCCUUACGGGGCGCACUCCUUGCACGUGGGGCUCACCUAUGUGGGGGACACCCCUGCGUGGCACGGCACUCCUUGCAUGCAUCAGCACUGCGCGUGGGCCAGCUCCACACAGGUCAAGGAGUCCCGGGGUUUGAACCGCGGACCUCCCAUCUGGUAGACAGACUCCCUAACUACUGGGCCAAGCCCGCUUCCUUAGACACUUCCAUUCUAUGAAAAUGGAACCAAGGCUAUUUUGUUUAUUUUGCAUUCCCAGUGCCUAAUUACUGCUGCAGACAAACUAGAUGUUAGCUGGAACUUCAACUGACAGAGAGGUGGGAGAGAGUUGUUUCCAGUGGAGGAACUGGCAUGAACAGACACACUGGUAUAGACCUGGAAGAGUGCCAAGGAGCAUGAGUUCAGCAGUUUGGCUGAAGCUUGAAGAAGACUGAAGGAGAUAAGAUGGGAAAGAGUCUGGCAUAAUUAUUAAUAUCUUGAUUGUCAGUUUAAGAGACUGGUCAUCAAAAGUUUAAAAAGUUGCAAAUGAUGACAUUUCUGGUAUAUACUGAAUAAGUGCUUUACAUAUAUUUUCAUCAUAAACUUAGAGCCACAGAUGUAGCUCAUUCCUUUUGUCGAAAAUAUCACUUAAUUGGCAAAAUCAGUCCCCAUGGCCAAACCAAUCAGCUAAAUAUACUUACUUUAUGUCAGAAAAAGUUCAAUGAAAAAAAAAAACUAUACUUCUACAAGUCUUUCCACU